rnacentral:rRNA from 1 species
AGUGGCUCAGAGUGAACGCUGGCGGCAGGCCUAAUACAUGCAAGUCGAACGGCAGCACGGCAGAGCUUGCUCUGUGGGUGGCGAGUGGCGGACGGGUGAGGAAUACAUGGGAACCUGCCCAGUCGUGGGGGAUAACGUAGGGAAACUUACGCUAAUACCGCAUGCGCCCUUCGGGGGAUAGCCGGGGACCUUCGGGCCUGGCGCGAUUGGAUGAGCCCAUGUCGGAUUAGCUAGUUGGCGGGGUAAUGGCCCACCAAGGCGACGAUCCGUAGCUGGUCUGAGAGGAUGAUCAGCCACACUGGAACUGAGACACGGUCCAGACUCCUACGGGAGGCAGCAGUAGGGAAUAUUGGACAAUGGGCGCAAGCCUGAUCCAGCCAUGCCGCGUGAGUGAAGAAGGCCCUCGGGUUGUAAAGCUCUUUUGUCCGGAAAGAAAAGCGCCGGGUUAAUACCCUGGUGUCCUGACGGUACCGGAAGAAUAAGCACCGGCUAACUUCGUG